UGCGGUAAUUUGACCGUGCAAAGGUAGCAUAAUCAGUAGUCUUUUAAUUGAAGGCUGGAAUGAACGGCUGGAUGAAGGAUUAACUGUCUUUAAUACAAUUUAUAACUUGACUUUUAAGUGAAAAGGCUUAAAUUAUUUAAAGGGACGAUAAGACCCUAUAAAACUUGACACAUUGUUAUUUCUAGCUUUGAAUUCUAAGCCAAAAUUGUAAAGGUGAUCUUGUGUUCUGUUGGGGAGACAUUGAUAAAAUUAGUAACUGUCUGAUUAAAUAUUAUAAUUAUAAUUAGUACGUGAUCCUUCUCUGAGGAUUAAAAGAAUAAGUUACUUUAGGGAUAACAGCGUAAUUUUCUCUGAGAGUUCUUAUCGAAGGGAGUAGUUGCGACCUCGAUGUUGAAUUAA
rnacentral:rRNA from 1 species